AAUAUACUCCCUUCGUUCGAAAAUAUUUGUCAUCAAAAUGGAUAAAAAGGGACGUACUAGAACUAAAAUACGUCUAGAAACAUCCCUUUUUAUUCAUUUUGAACAUCCUUUUUAUCCAUUUUGAUGACAAGUAUUUCGGACGGAAGGAGUAUUUG
rfam:Triticum aestivum genome assembly, contig: Triticum_aestivum_CS42_TGACv1_scaffold_405012_5BL